GAUCAUGGCUCAGGAUGAACGCUAGCGGCAGGCUUAACACAUGCAAGUCGAGGGGCAUCACGUCUUCGGAUGGUGGCGACCGGCGCACGGGUGCGUAACACGUAUACAACUUGCCCGUCAUAGGGGAAUAACCCGGAGAAAUUCGGACUAAUACCCCGUAAGUAUAGAGGGGGCAUCCUCUUUAUAUUAUAGAUUUAUUGAUGACGGAUAGGUAUGCGCAGCAUUAGGUAGUUGGUGAGGUAACGGCUCACCAAGCCGACGAUGCUUAGGGGAACUGAGAGGUUUAUCCCCCACACUGGUACUGAGACACGGACCAGACUCCUACGGGAGGCAGCAGUGAGGAAUAUUGGUCAAUGGACGAAAGUCUGAACCAGCCAUGCCGCGUGCAGGAUGACGGC
rnacentral:rRNA from 1 species